AAUGGGUCAGCGACUUAUAUUCUGUAGCAAGGUUAACCGAAUAGGGGAGCCGAAGGGAAACCGAGUCUUAACUGGGCGUUAAGUUGCAGGGUAUAGACCCGAAACCCGGUGAUCUAGCCAUGGGCAGGUUGAAGGUUGGGUAACACUAACUGGAGGACCGAACCGACUAAUGUUGAAAAAUUAGCGGAUGACUUGUGGCUGGGGGUGAAAGGCCAAUCAAACCGGGAGAUAGCUGGUUCUCCCCGAAAGCUAUUUAGGUAGCGCCUCGUGAAUUCAUCUCCGGGGGUAGAGCACUGUUUCGGCAAGGGGGUCAUCCCGACUUACCAACCCGAUGCAAACUGCGAAUACCGGAGAAUGUUAUCACGGGAGACACACGGCGGGUGCUAACGUCCGUCGUGAAGAGGGAAACAACCCAGACCGCCAGCUAAGGUCCCAAAGUCAUGGUUAAGUGGGAAACGAUGUGGGAAGGCCCAGACAGCCAGGAUGUUGGCUUAGAAGCAGCCAUCAUUUAAAGAAAGCGUAAUAGCUCACUGGUCGAGUCGGCCUGCGCGGAAGAUGUAACGGGGCUAAACCAUGCACCGAAGCUGCGGCAGCGACGCUGAUG
rnacentral:rRNA from 1 species